rnacentral:rRNA from 1 species
AGGUGUCGGGUUAAGUCCCAUAACGAGCGCAACCCUUAUCGUUAGUUGCCAGCGGGUCAUGCCGGGAACUCUAACGAAACUGCCGGUGUAAACCGUGAGGAAGGUGGGGAUGACGUCAAAUCAGCACGGCCCUUAUGUCCAGGGCUACACACGUGUUACAAUGGCCGGUACAGAGGGCAGCUACCUGGAGACAGGAUGCGAAUCUCCAAAGCCGGUCUCAGUUCGGAUCGGAGUCUGCAACUCGACUCCGUGAAGCUGGAUUCGCUAGUAAUCGCGCAUCAGCCAUGGCGCGGUGAAUACGUUCCCGGGCCUU